GGACCACCAGGGAUUCAUGGUGCUCAAGGAGAGAAGGGAGAUGUUGGACUGCAAGGUGACAAAGGAGAAAAGGGGGACACUGUGCUGGUUGAAGGGCCUUCUGGAGAAAAGGGCAACAAAGGAG